UACGUAGGUGGCAAGCGUUAUCCGGAAUUAUUGGGCGUAAAGCGCUCGCAGGCGGUUUCUUAAGUCUGAUGUGAAAGCCCACGGCUCAACCGUGGAGGGUCAUUGGAAACUGGGAGACUUGAGUGCAGAAGAGGAGAGUGGAAUUCCACGUGUAGCGGUGAAAUGCGUAGAGAUGUGGAGGAACACCAGUGGCGAAGGCGACUCUCUGGGACGGUACUGACGCUGAGACGCGAAAGCGUGGGGAGCGAACAGG
rnacentral:rRNA from 1 species